GUCCCAAUCUUCAAUCCCUCCCGAGGCCCAGCUGCGGUGACAGCCGAAACCUACAUAAUGUUGGAAAGGGAGCGGGGCAUUCCAAAAAAAAAACCUUACCCCCCCACCCCCCACCCCGUUCAAUAAGCGCUGAAACAUUUACAAGCUGCCCACUGCAUUUUGCAUCAGGGUUGUGAGGAGAGCAGGCAGAAUUGUGGGCUCUCGGGAGCAAACACCGCAGCAAAAAAUAUUAAACUGUGGAAAUGGGUGCUUUGACCGAGUUUACGGUCACACAAUACAACUGGGAUGUAUGCGGCGCCCAAAUGUGACCGCAUCUCAAGAUGCCGCACAGAAAGAGUGGCAAAAGAUUGUCAAUGAAUAACGAGGUUGUUUUCAAUUGCGUAAUAAAGCACGAGGUUUUGCGUUUGCUGUUCACGUAACGACUGGGUGUAAACACAAAAGAGUGAAGAGAUGGCAUUUUAUAAACAACCACUCCUUGUGACUACAGAAGAAAGAAAUAUAAUACGAUUCACAAGAAUAAAAUGCAUCAGGUAUACAUGUACAGGUACAGCUCUACAAUUGCUGAUGGAAGGGCAUCAACUCGAGGGAGCUCAAGAGAGCUCAUGUGAAAGGUAUUUGGUCUAUUCUUCCACGUUGGUGUCAGGAAAAAACAUACAAUAAGAGAAACGCAUUGUAUGAAAUACAUUGCUAUUACAUUAUAAAUGAACAACAUUGCAGCAUGAAUCUUGAUUUAGUGCAUUGUAAUUUGAGCUUGUUAUCCAACAGCCGCCUACUACAACACAUGCAUAUUUAGGAGACAUUGAAUUGUAACAGUAAAGUGUCAACAAUAUUUUUUGGGAUAAUACGAUUAAAGGUCGUGGAUUCAAUCACAAACCUGACGCCUGCUCUAUAUUUG